rnacentral:sRNA from 1 species
GAAGGCUGCCUGAUCAGAGAGUCUCUGAAGAAGAUUCUGUGGCUACAGGCUUCAGCAGAGUGUGAGGGAGACCCCGGUUAUUUCCUCAGCUAUUUCCACCAAAUCCUCCUGUCUUUUGUGGCCAACACCCCAGGCAAGGCUUGGGGCCCCUGUCUGCUGCUGGACGCAGAGCCAUGAAGAAGAAGUUAGUGGUGCUGGGCCUGCUGGCCGUGGUCCUGGUGCUGGUCAUUGUCGGCCUCUGUCUCUGGCUGCCCUCAGCCUCCAAGGAACCUGACAACCAUGUGUACACCAGGGCUGCCGUGGCCGCGGAUGCCAAGCAGUGCUCGGAGAUUGGGAGGAAAAGCUGAGGUCAUCAACGCCCGCGAGGUGGCCCCCAGGCUGGCCUUUGCCAGCAUGUUCAACAGCUCGGAGCAGUCCCAGAAGGCACUUUAGGAGGCCAAGUCAGGAGGAGCGCAUGAGCCCAGGAGUUUGAGACCUGCCUGGGCAACAUAGCAAGACUCUAUCUCUACAAAAAAUGGAAAAAAAAAAUUAGCUAG